GGCGGGGUUUGGGGGGGGCUGCGAGACCAGCGGCGGGUCACGUGAUGCGACGCCAGCGCCGGGCCUCCCAAGAUGGCGGUGUGCAUCGCGGUGAUCGCCAAGGAGAAUUACCCCCUCUACAUUCGCAGCACCCCCACGGAGAACGAGCUGAAGUUCCACUACAUGGUGCACACAUCUCUGGACGUGGUGGAUGAGAAGAUCUCCGCAAUGGGGAAGGCCCUGGUCGACCAGAGGGAGCUGUACUUGGGCCUGCUCUACCCCACGGAGGACUACAAGGUGUACGGCUACGUCACCAAUUCCAAGGUAAAGUUUGUCAUGGUGGUGGAUUCCUCCAACACAGCCCUUCGAGACAACGAAAUUCGCAGCAUGUUCCGGAAGCUACACAACUCCUACACGGACGUGAUGUGCAACCCCUUCUACAACCCAGGGGACCGCAUCCAGUCCAGCAGGGCCUUUGAUAACAUGGUGACGUCCAUGAUGAUACAGGUGUGCUGAAUAAGCUGUGCUGCCGGCCAUCGCAGAGGAUCCCACGCGUGACCGUGGUGGCCGUCAGUCUCUUCUCGUCGCCUCUUCCUGAGUGGGACGCCCGGGGCUUUCAGGGCAGGCAGCUGUGCAUGUUCUCUCAACUAAAGACUCAGCCUGGCCUGAAAAGAACGCUUGUGAAACCUGGGAAGCCUUGUGGCCCCGUGGCGUUGGCUCAGCUGCAGCCAUCAUCCUAAGCCCUGGAGUGCAGACUUGAGGCGCCCCUUCCUGCCUGUUGGUGCUGAGGGGGUUCGGUGCCGUGUCGCUUGAUGACAUGACUGACUACCACCCAGGGCAGCGGCCGAGCCCAUAGUGGUGUCAGUGCCGCCGGCAUCCUUGGGGUCCAGCAGUCGAGGCUCAGGCAGCUGAGGAGACCCCCCCGCAGAGCUGGUUCCAGCACUGGUCCAGGACUGGAGAGUUUCUCAAGGACCUUGAAGACCCCAGGAGCGCCUGCAGCAGGAAAGGCUGUAAGGGGGUCAGCCUGGGGCAGACACAGGGAGGGGAACUUUCUCGAUACAUAUUUGCCUUUUCAUCUCAUCCAGCAAGCACAGUGUUAAUUUUAUAAAUUACAGAAGAAGAAAUCAGCAAGGAGUGUGUGUGAAAACCACACGUCCCAGGCCUCCCCCGCCCCAGGGUGAAUUGGAAGUCCUGGCGUGGGCCGAGGCACACCGGGCAGCUGGUCUGAGUGCACGUGGGCCACAGGCCACCCUCACAGGGUUAAAUCUUUAACAAGAGCCUCAUGUUUGUUAGAAGGUGGGACCCCAGCCCAAGCACCUAGCACCUCCCCACUGCCGCCCAGUGUGAAAUCUUUGCCUUUUAGUGGGGAUCGCUCCUGCCUGAGUCCUGGCUGUGGUGGGGACUCUGCAAGUUGCUAACCCAGCAUCCAUUCUCCUUCCUCCCUACUAACAGAACUCCGGUGCCUCUGCACGGUUCUGACAGUGGGCAGAUGAGAACCGUGUCCUGGCCUCCCUCGCAGCCUGGGGUGUGCAGCUGUGGCAUGGAGGUGGUGGUGCUAGGAGAGACUUGCGGGGAAGCUCCUGUGAAGGGGGCUCAGCUGCCACGUGCAGGGCCCUUCCCCUUUGCCUUCUUCCUGCCUGGAACAUGGAUGUGAUGGCUGGUGCUGGGACAGCUGUCCUGAGAGCAUGAGGAAGGAGUCACACCCUGAGGACAGUGGAGCUGAUGCACAAUGCAGGAAGGAGGACCCUGUGCCUUUGCUGACACAGAAUGCGGGAAGGACCUGUGCCUUUGC